CCCGCUGAGUUUAAGCAUAUCACUAAGCGGAGGAAAAGAAACUAACAAGGAUUUCCUUUGUAACGGCGAGCGAACCGGAAAUUGCCCGGCUUGAAAAUCGGGCCGCUUUGCGCUUUGAAUUGUAGUCUGGAGAAGGGACCUCAGCAACGGACCGUGCUUCAGUCCUUUGGAAAGGGACGCCAGAGAGGGUGAGAGCCCCGUCUAGCACGGACCCUGUUGCAACACGAGGCUCUGUCUACGAGUCGGGUUGUUUGGGAAUGCAGCCUUAAGUGGGUGGUAAAUCUCAUCCAAGGCUAAAUACUGGCGAGAGACCGAUAGUGCACAAGUACCGCGAGGGAAAGAUGAAAAGGACUUUGAAAAGAGAGUUAAAAAGUGCUUGAAAUUGCUGGGAGGGAAGCGAAUGGAUGCCUUUGUUGCCUGCUGGUUGUGUGCGGAACGGCGUAAAAGCUGGUCUGUCAAUCAACUCAGCGGGCUCGCUAGUGUGGGGGUGGAUGCCGGGAUAAAGGUCCCGGGCUCUUUUGCUUGGGAUUGAUGCCGGUGUCUACUCUGUGGCCUGGGGUGUGCGCCUUUCUGGCGGGCAACCUGCACACCCGGGACGCUGGCGGUUUUAGGUCACUUCUAUUCUGAAACGG
rnacentral:ncRNA from 1 species